AACGCUAGCUACAGGCUUAACACAUGCAAGUCGAGGGGCAUCAGGAAGAAAGCUUGCUUUCUUUGCUGGCGACCGGCGCACGGGUGAGUAACACGUAUCCAACCUGCCCUUUACUCGGGGAUAGCCUUUCGAAAGAAAGAUUAAUACCCGAUAGCAUAAUGAUUCCGCAUGGUUUCAUUAUUAAAGGAUUCCGGUAAAGGAUGGGGAUGCGUUCCAUUAGGUUGUUGGUGAGGUAACGGCUCACCAAGCCUUCGAUGGAUAGGGGUUCUGAGAGGAAGGUCCCCCACAUUGGAACUGAGACACGGUCCAAACUCCUACGGGAGGCAGCAGUGAGGAAUAUUGGUCAAUGGGCGUUAGCCUGAACCAGCCAAGUAGCGUGAAGGAUGAAGGCUAUAUGGGUCGUAAACUUCUUUUAUAUAAGAAUAAAGUGCAGUAUGUAUACUGUUUUGUAUGUAUUAUAUGAAUAAGGAUCGGCUAACUCCGUGCCAGCAGCCGCGGUAAUACGGAGGAUCCGAGCGUUAUCCGGAUUUAUUGGGUUUAAAGGGAGCGUAGGUGGACUGGUAAGUCAGUUGUGAAAGUUUGCGGCUCAACCGUAAAAUUGCAGUUGAUACUGUCAGUCUUGAGUACAGUAGAGGUGGGCGGAAUUCGUGGUGUAGCGGUGAAAUGCUUAGAUAUCACGAAGAACUCCGAUUG
rnacentral:rRNA from 1 species